CUAAUUACCUUGACCUUGGUAUCGGCAAAUUUGUUUGUAUAUUGUCAGUUUUUCACAGCUUGACUUCGGGGUUUAUAAUUGCUGAUAACAGUAAUUAGGCACAUGCGAGGGAGACUAAAAUCUGGGAUCAGAAUAUACCAUGGAAGCAAUGCAUUGGGUAUGGGUCUGACAACGCUAGUGUCAUGGUUGGCCGUCACAACUCUGUCCUAUCUCGUAUUCGUGAGAAGCAACCUGAUGUGUCUGAUAUGGGCUGUGUAUGCCAUUUAGUCAACACUUGUGUACAGUGAAGUCAAAAAACAUGUAUGACAUAUAAAGACAGUUCUAAUUGUGUAAAGUGUGUAAGUGAAAGUUGAGUCAAUUACAUAAACAUCAAAACACAAGUGCAGUGGAAAAAAAAACAUGUAUGUUUUAUAAAGAAAGUUUUUUAAUGAUAAAAUUGGGUUGUUAAUUUGUUAUCAUGCAAAAUAAAAUGUUUUUAAAGAA